rnacentral:rRNA from 1 species
GACGAACGCUGGCGGCGCGCUUAACACAUGCAAGUCGAGCGAAGCGGCGGACGGGUGAGUAACACGUGAGUAACCUGCCUUAGACAUUGGGAUAGCCUCGGGAAACCGGGAUUAAUACCAAAUGGUCUAAGAUGGACUCGCGUCCCAUUAGCUAGUUGGUGGGUAACGGCCCACCAAGGCGACGAUGGGUAGCCGGCCUGAGAAGGUGAACAGCCACAUGAGAACUGAGAGACGGUCCAAACUCUACGGGGGGCAGCGGUGGGGAAUAUUGCACAAUCGGGGAAACCCUGAUGCAGCAACGCCGCGUGCGGGAUGACGGCCUUCGGGUUGUAAACCGCUUUCAGCCAUGACGCGGUAGUGGCAGAAGAAGCACCGGCUAACUACGUGCCAGCAGCCGCGGUAAUUC